CCCGCCCCUUCUUUCUCCGUGGCCCUUUGGCGCGUGAGUGACAGCGGCCCAGACAGAGGGGGCGAUGUCCGCGUCGUGGCUGGGGCCGGUCGCGGGGCAGACUAAUCCCCUGCUCCUGGCCAGGGGAGGCUCCCGAGCGGAUCCUCGGGAAAGGGGCUCCGAAGGUCAAGAAACUGCCCUGCUGGGCGUCCGGGGAGUGGGAAAAUAAAGCACUUUUUGUAUCCCGCCCCUCCCCCGUCACGUGACCACGCGAGGCGGAAAGAAGAAAUCCGAGGACCGGCGACGCCUAGAACAGGAGCCCAUGAUGCUGCCCAAACCUGGGACCUAUUACCUCCCCUGGGAGGUUAGUGCAGGCCAAGUUCCUGAUGGGAGCACGCUGAGAACAUUUGGCAGGUUGUGCCUCUAUGACAUGAUUCAGUCCAGAGUAACACUGAUGGCUCAGCACGGAUCCGAUCAGCACCAGGUUCUUGUCUGUACCAAGUUGGUGGAGCCCUUCCACGCCCAGGUGGGCUCCCUGUACAUCGUCCUCGGGGAGCUCCAGCAUCAGCAGGACAGAGGCUCCGUGGUGAAGGCGCGCGUGCUGACCUGUGUGGAGGGGAUGAACCUGCCCUUGUUGGAACAAGCCAUCCGGGAGCAGAGACUGUACAAGCAGGAGCGGGGCGGCAGCCAGUAGGAAACAGCAGCCUAGCAACACCCUCACCUGCUUCAGAGCCCGAACCCUCUGGAGCUGCAGGAGCCCGGGAGAGCACAGACGCCUCCCCAGCGACGGCCUUGUCUGGAGCUCGAAAGCCGAGGGGCGGGUGAUGAAUCCAGCCCCUUCCCCUACUUUGGGAUUGGCUCAGCAAUGAGAACCCAGAAAGCAUGCCAUAAAUCCGACAGCCCCACCCCAGGAGACUGCAGGUGGCCGAGCUUGGGCGCCGGGGCCGUGCUUGGUGUGGGGCCAUGGAGGGUUCCAGAAGGUCCUGGUGAAUAAAGGCCCAGGGGGCGUGCUCUUGAAGUGUGCUCGUGGUGCAGCGCCGGCGGGGGCCAGGAGGGGGAGCUGCAACCCAGGCUGUGGGCUGCAGCCUCUCAGGGCUUCUGGUGAAUUCUGGGCCUGGGGCCUCAGGGUAGGGCACCAGGGGCCCAGGGGCUGGGGUGGGGGGCCCAGGAUGCAGGGGUCUGCCCCUGGCCAGGCUCUGCCUUCAGAGGAGGCUGAGCGUCGUCACACGGGCCGGGCUGAGGCCCUGGGCCCUGACCGUGCAGCCUAAGACAGGACUGUGGCUUUAAGACCCUCCUGACCCCUGACCUCUGCCCCCAGUGGCCCUGGCCCCUGGGCAGCCCUUCCUGGCCGCCAUGUGUACCCAGAGCCUGGGACUGGCUGGGCUGGGCAGUGACCCAGGUGGGAAAGGGUGGUCUUGCCCUCUAAGGCCCGGCACAAGUGAGAGGCCUGGGGGUCCAUGUUGGGCUGGGCUGGGCGAGGGGUGGUCUCUGACUUCCUGGGGGUUCUGGCUGGGAUGGGCAGGGGGCUGGGUGGGAGAGUGUGGGCCCUGCCCUCCGAGGCCGGGCAUGGGCGAGAAGCCUGGGGGUCCUGGCUGAACUGGGCUGGGUGAAGGGGGCCCCCUGACCCCCUUGGGGUCCGGGCUGGGCUGGGUGAGGGGCGGUUUCCGACCCCCAGCCAGGUUCCCAGGCAGGAUGAGCUGGGGUUGGGGUGGCUAGGCCGUGGGCCUUGGGAGCUGGGCAGUCUGGGCUGGGCUGGGCUGGGCAGGGCGCCACAUGGAAGCUGGAGGAGCAACGGGAGCGCUGGGCGUGGGGUGCAAAUUGCCCGGUGCCUUCUGUUUCCCAGGCAGCUCUGUGGCCAUGGAUAUGUUCCAGAAGGUAGAGAAGAUCGGAGAGGGCACCUAUGGGGUGGUGUACAAGGCCAAGAACAGGGAGACAGGGCAGCUGGUGGCCCUGAAGAAGAUCAGACUGGAUUUGGAGAUGGAGGGGGUCCCAAGCACUGCCAUCAGGGAGAUCUCGCUGCUCAAGGAACUGAAGCACCCCAACAUCGUCCGACUGCUGGACGUGGUGCACAACGAGAGGAAGCUCUAUCUGGUGUUUGAGUUCCUCAGCCAGGACCUGAAGAAGUACAUGGACUCCACCCCAGGCUCAGAGCUCCCCCUGCACCUCAUCAAGAGCUACCUCUUCCAGCUGCUGCAGGGGGUGAGUUUCUGCCACUCACAUCGGGUCAUCCACCGAGACCUGAAGCCCCAGAACCUGCUCAUCAAUGAGUUGGGUGCCAUCAAGCUGGCUGACUUCGGCCUGGCUCGCGCCUUCGGGGUGCCCCUGCGCACCUACACCCAUGAGGUGGUGACACUGUGGUAUCGCGCCCCCGAGAUUCUCUUGGGCAGCAAGUUCUAUACCACAGCUGUGGAUAUCUGGAGCAUUGGUUGCAUCUUUGCAGAGAUGGUGACUCGAAAAGCCCUGUUUCCUGGUGACUCUGAGAUUGACCAGCUCUUUCGUAUCUUUCGUAUGCUGGGGACACCCAGCGAAGACACAUGGCCCGGGGUCACCCAGCUGCCUGACUAUAAGGGCAGCUUCCCUAAGUGGACCAGGAAGGGACUGGAAGAGAUUGUGCCCAAUCUGGAGCCAGAGGGCAGGGACCUGCUCAUGCAACUCCUGCAGUAUGACCCCAGCCAGCGGAUCACAGCCAAGACUGCCCUGGCCCACCCGUACUUCUCAUCCCCUGAGCCCUCCCCAGCUGCCCGCCAGUAUGUGCUGCAGCGAUUCCGCCAUUGAGAAUGUCAAGGCCACACUCAGAUCCUUUCUCGAGCAGCUGCUGCCCCAGCUGCCUCCUACCCAUUGCCAAGAGAGGAUGCAUCUGGGGAGAGCAAAGCACUAAGGAAUUCAGCAUCAGCCUGCAGAGGGCUGAGUCUGGGUUAGUCCUGCCCGCAGGUUAGCGAGAUCCUGUGUUGUUUUUUGGGUUGGACGGUGCCGUUUCAAAAUAGAGGCACAGAUGCUCCAUGCACGAGGGGUCCCCGGGCACUGGAACAAGUGCCAAGUUGAAGGCAGGGGGCCUGCCAGAGCUGGGUGUGGGUAUUCAGGCCCUCACCUGCCCUGCCUGCAGGGCCAGACCCUGAGGAAAGGGCGCCCCCUGCUGGUCUUUUUGGAUUUAAAAUGUUUGGGGGAAGAGUUGAGUUCCAGUUCAGUCCCAAGUUAAACAGGAGGGAGUGAGGGAGAGGAGAGAGGGCGUUCCCCGGAUCCCAGGAGAGCUGGGCUAUGACUGCAAUAAGGAGUUGUUCCUUCACCUGAGAUGUGCUUCUUUUGGUUCAUUUCUGGCUUGACAACAAUAAAUAAACGUGGUAUGUUCCUGAG